rnacentral:rRNA from 1 species
AUGAACGCUGGCGGCGUGCCUAAUACAUGCAAGUCGAGCGAACAGACGAGGAGCUUGCUCCUCUGACGUUAGCGGCGGACGGGUGAGUAACACGUGGAUAACCUACCUAUAAGACUGGGAUAACUUCGGGAAACCGGAGCUAAUACCGGAUAAUAUAUUGAACCGCAUGGUUCAAUAGUGAAAGACGGUUUUGCUGUCACUUAUAGAUGGAUCCGCGCCGCAUUAGCUAGUUGGUAAGGUAACGGCUUACCAAGGCAACGAUGCGUAGCCGACCUGAGAGGGGGAUCGGCACCACUGGAACUGAGACACGGUCCAGACUCCUACGGGAGGCAGCAGGAGGGCAUCUUCCGCAAUGGGCGAAAGCCUGACGGAGCAACGCCGCGUGAGUGAUGAAGGUCUUCGGAUCGUAAAACUCUGUUAUUAGGGAAGAACAAAUGUGUAAGUAACUAUUCACGUCUUGACGGUACCUAAUCAGAAAGCCACGGCUAACUACGUG